AGGAAAGCAGGGGAUCGCAAGACCUUGCGCUUUUGGAGCGGCCGAUGUCUGAUUAGCUAGUUGGUGAGGUAAAGGCUUACCAAGGCUUCGAUCAGUAGCUGGUCUGAGAGGACGACCAGCCACACUGGGACUGAGACACGGCCCAGACUCCUACGGGAGGCAGCAGUGGGGAAUUUUGGACAAUGGGGGAAACCCUGAUCCAGCCAUGCCGCGUGAGUGAAGAAGGCCUUCGGGUUGUAAAGCUCUUUCAGCCGGAACGAAAAGGUUACGGUUAAUACCCGUGACUAAUGACGGUACCGGAAGAAGAAGCACCGGCUAACUACGUGCCAGCAGCCGCGGUAAUACGUAGGGUGCGAGCGUUAAUCGGAAUUACUGGGCGUAAAGCGUGCGCAGGCGGUUUUGUAAGUCAGAUGUGACAUCCCCGGGCUCAACCUGGGAACUGCGUCUGAAACUACAACGCU
rnacentral:rRNA from 1 species